rnacentral:rRNA from 1 species
UACGAAGGGGGCUAGCGUUGCUCGGAAUCACUGGGCGGUAAAGGGUGCGUAGGCGGCGCGGUAAGUCGGGUGUGAAAUCUCGGAGCUUAACUCCGAAACUGCAUUCGAUACUGCCGUGCUUGAGGACUGGAGAGGAGACUGGAAUUUACGGUGUAGCGGUGAAAUGCGUAGAUAUCGUAAGGAAGACCAGUGGCGAAGGCGGGUCUCUGGACAGUUCCUGACGCUGAGGCACGAAGGUCAGGGGAGCAAACGGGG